CACAACUAUAACUAUCACCACCAUUAUCACCACCACCAUCAUCAACAUUAUCAUCAUAAUCAUCAUCACCAUAACCACCACUACAACCAUCACUACCAUCACCAUCAUAACCAAUACCACUACCACCACUAUCAUCAUCAUGAUUAUUAUCAUCAUCACCUUACCACCACCACAAUUAUUAUUAUCUCUAUAAUCGCUACCACCACUAUCAUCACUACCACCAGUCCAACCACUACCGCCACCACCACCAUCAUCAUCAGUAUCAUCAUAAUCAUCAUCACCAUUACCACCACUACAACCACUACUACCAUCACCUUUAUUAUCAUCAUUUUCACUGGAAAAAGGGAAUUGAAUCUUCUCAGGGGUUAGGUAAUUUGCCUAAAGCCAAACAACUAGUAAGUUGAACUAGGUUUUAUGAGUUCAAAUAUUUUGCUCAUUCCACAGCAUAUAUGUUACUUCCCCUCAGUUUGGAAGUCUGGAAGCUAAAAAUCAAAGAUUUAAAAACAACAAUGGCUUCAGAAUUUCUGUAUGCAAAGUACCCAAUACAGCAAUAUGGUUAGAAAAGGGGUCUGGGCCUUCUCUAGAAGCUGUUUGCAGAGCAACACGUGAUUUUUUACUCAGAUUGUAGAAUGCAGACCACUCAAAACUGCAAUGUUUUCUUUAAAAAGCUUUCUAUUACGCUUUCUAUUAAGAUUAAAAAUUUUAAUUGAUUUUUCAGUUUUUAGAGAUGCUUGUGGAGAUUAAUAGGGGUGUGAGUCAUGCCCUACCUCAAAAACAUUCUUGGUAUCCCUCAGCAUAUGAACCACAAGUUGAAGGAGAAGAGUUUGUUUUUCCUAAUAUUUUAGUCACGUAAUUUAUCUGAAGGCAGUUAAGAGAGUUAAGAGUGCCUUCUACAAAUCAUAUCUGCUUAUUUGAGUCUUUGGUAUAUUUUUUUAAAUACCAUUCUACUAGUGUAUUUUGCUGUUAUAAAUAGAAAGAAAAUUCCCACCAUAGAAAAUGUUUUCAUAUUUAUUCUCUCUCAGAGAUUUCUGAAGUUCAAUUUAUAGAGAAUAAAAAAAUUAUACUCAAAGGCUCAGCCAGCUGACUCAUCUUGUGAUCUGAAAGGCAAGUUAUCUUUUUGUUACUUCUUACACUGAAUGAACAGUUUAGAAUGAAGUCAAGAGGGAGAAGGGACCAGCUGCUCUUACGCUGUUGCUGUGUGAGUGGUAUAGUAUAAAUAUUUAAACCUUUAACUCCCAAUAAUUCAAAGGCAAAGAAAGAAAAAUCUGUGGAGAAAAGUAGCACCAUAACCUCAUCACUUUCCGGAAGGCAGCAACGUCUUUCUUCUCUUUAUUUUAUUUAGAAAUAAUUGCUGUCUAGGACUAAACUUGUAAUAUAGCCACAGACGAAAUAACCCCAGGAUCUCUUCUCUGUUUAGAGGUUCUCUAUUAAUGAAAAUCUUUACAAAGCUAGAUCCGAGUGUGUUCUCUCUUCCUCAGUUUGGAAAAGAGACACUUUACCCACCCCAAAAAGUUCCCAUGUUUCUCACAUUUAUAUUUUAAGUUUCAAGAGUUUUACUUUGUAUCCAUCACUGUGUCUUUAAGUAUCUUCUGCGUGAAGCAUUUUUUAAGCAAACCGAGACAUGAAAAAAUUGAAGAUAGAGAAAGCCAACAUGUGAAAGAAUGAUGACAUAAAUUAUUAUUAAUUUGCUUUCUGGAGAAACACUGCCAAUUAUAUCUGGCUUUUGAUUGCUAUCACAGCAUAGGUCAAAAUCUUUCUCUUAAAAAUAUCUGAAAAGGAUAAACUAAAUUGUUCUUUUUUUUUUUUUGGAAGGAAUAUUCUAAAUGAUAAGAUAUGCUCUGGCUACACAGCACAAAGUAAAGAUGGUUUUUAGCUUACAUGAUCUGAUUUGUCUGUCAACAAGAAUCCAACAGUUCAGGCUCUUGACACGUCCCUCUUCAGCCUAGGGUGUGCAGAUGUUAUGGAAUCAUCACCCUCAUAGUCAGCCAAGCACAUCCUCAUUUCAGGGUCCCAGAAACUAGCACCUGGCACAGCCUGGACCAUACUGAAUGAUGAGGAAGUACAAGAGAGUUUACUGUCUCAUUAGCACUUGCAUUUCUAGUUUCAUUUUCUUCUUUCCAUUUUCACUUUCUAGGACCAUUUACUAGUUCUUUUUCUUGCUCUCCAACUUUUCUCUGUCCUUCUGGUACUUGAAAGAGUCACUUUAAUUUGUCUCAACUAAUACCUUUUCUCUUUUAAAAUAUCUUCCAAAAUCAACUGAAUUUUAAACAUUUUAGUUAAACAUCACAGCUUUUGGCAGAUAAUUAGUAGACAAAAUUUUGCCAUCCGAAAAUAAAUGAGAAGUUGAAUAAACUGACAUUUGCUUAGCACAAUAAAAUAUAGAAGGCAGGCUGAGCAUGGUGGCUUACGCUUGUAAUCCCAGCACUUGGAGAGGCCUAGGUGGGAGGAUCACUUAAGGCAAGGAGUUUGAGACCAACCUGGGCAACAUAGUGAGAGGCUGGCUUUACAAAAAAAAUUAAAAAAUUAGCUGGAUAUGGUGGUGCACACCUGUAGUCCCAGCUACUUGGAGGCUGAGGCAGGAGGAUCCCUUGAGCCCAGGAAGUUGAGGCUGCAGUGAGCUGCAAUCACACCACUGCACUUCAGCCUGGGUGAUAGAGCGAGAGCCUGUCUCUUGAAAAAAUACAGGAGGCAUAGUUAGCCAGAUAAAUCACAUCUUUUUAAUAAAUAUGUUGGCUUGUGUAAGUGAAGUGGCUUCUAUCAAAAAGAGAGGUGGGAGUGCAACCCUCCAGAUUUAUUUUAAUAUUUUGGUCACAAAAACUACACAUUUCUUUUUCUUUGUUUAAAUUAUCAUACCUACAAUGAGUAUGCAUGUACUUUUAGUUUUCAACUCAAGCCCUAUAGAAGACAUACUCUAGUAUAUCUUACACACAUCAUUCCUAAAAAGUUAAGACUUGGCUUGCUGCUCAUAGAGAUAUUAAAAUAAACAUCUAAAAUGUUUUACUUGUAGUUUUGGGCCCCUUUUGGCAUUGGCCUGAUCUAAACAGGUUACCCUGAGGUCACUGGGGGCCAUAAAUCAGGGGGGUGGACUGGUGGCUAAGACAGCCUGCAUAGCUUUAGUGCAAUGUGCUAUUUUAGUUUAUGCCCCUGCAAUGACACCAUCUCUUUGGCACCAGCCAAAGAAAGCUUCCUAGACAUCUAUGGGAAGAGAAUGUUUUGCAGUAAUCCAAGGCAGAGGUCACACAAGCAUGAAUUACUGUGGGGAGGUCUUUGUCUGCUCCAGACCCUGGGACAAAUAAAGUAGGGAAAGUGACUUCCAACUAAAGCAUUUAUCCAGGAAUUCGGGGGUGGAAAUUGAUCCAAGCAAUCUUGGCAAAUUGUGAAAGCAAAGAGUGACCAAUUCUUUUCAACCCAGGAAACUAGGGCAGCCUCUUUCUGCCCCUUUUCCAAUCCCGUUAUUGGGUCCACUUGAGAAACCCAGAUAUUUCUUGAGAAAGAUUCAGCAUAGUUAAAUAGCAAUGCUUGUAUUUAUUUAUGUUAUAAAAUGUGGCAUAAUCACACAAAAAUCUCCAAUCCUCUCUAGCCAAGGCUCAUAUACUUUUACAUUUGAUUUCUCUUACUUUUUCCAUGGAGGGUAUGACUUAACCAGUCUGAACUUUCAACAUUUACUAGUUUUGUACAUAAUAUGAAUUUAAUUGCUUUUUUCCCCUUUCUUCUUUCUAUUAAUUUUGGAAGGAGCAAAUACAAUUCAGGAAACAAUAUCAAAAUAUUCCAGAUUAUACCAGAUUGCAUAAUUAUUUACCUAUUAAAAGAAAAAUACUACCUUGGUUUUGUAAACAGCCUACAUGGAAAGACAAAAAAAAUAGGUAUUUAUCCUAAUUACAAUUCUUUUUGUGUGUGUGUGUGUGUUAAGUGUUUUGUAGUCUUCUUGCUCCCUCUGACCUGAAGUUCCCUUUGAAAAGGAAAAAGUGCUAACUUACUUGGCUUGGAGAAAGGAGAGAGGCUUGGUUCAAAAGUGACUGCCAAUUUUUUUCCAACCAGCUGUUAGUCUCCUUAAGAGCAACAGGCAGCUAAUGGUUGAAUGGACUUCCUUUUGCCAGUUCAUCUCCAUCUGGGAGAGUUCCCCUCCUUUGUGGAGGUUGAAACAACUUUCUCAGACACAGUUAUCCAGGACAGAAGUAUUCUCAUGCUCAGUUGCACUCUACCAGCUCUGGGGGACAUUUGAAAAUCUGACAAAUGCUUUGUAGUUUCUUGUGAUCUUCAAGCAUAAUCUUAAAAGGCAUGUAAGUGUCCAGGAAAUACAAGAACCUGAGAAAUACUUUGCACACUUACUGUGAACUUGGGGUGUUUUAUUAUUCUAAUCAUUGCACCUGACAAAAGAUUACUGAGCAGUGCUGAAAAUGGAGGCGGGGCGGGUUGCGUUUCUAAGGAAAGAAGCAAUUGCAGCUUUAACUUGUGCCAAGGAGUAAUUUUGGCUGCUAAAAUACUCACUGACCACCACCUGGUGAGCCGUUUGCUCCCACACGUGAAUUCUGUUCUGUUCUUGAAAGCAGGAUAGGAACCUACACUGUGCAUGGCCCUUCUUUUUUCCUUUUUUCAAUUGUCAUCAUCAUUGUCAUCAUCAUCAUCAGCAGCAGCAGCAUUGUUGUAGUCAUUACCAUUAUUACCCAUCCAGUUAUUUCCACUAACACUGACCAGACUGGCUGUCAAGAUCACACAGUGACAAAACAGAUGAAAGCCCUUUAAUUUGAUAAGUUUGAAAGAACAAUGGGAAAAGAGUCUGUAAGGCUAACUACUGGUUUUUCACUACCUUGAUAAUCAAAUGAAUCAUUUCUCCAGGAAAGAUUAAGCCUACUUGAGAGUAACCAUUUUCUAAAUGACGUGAUGAUGUUGUUAGGAAAGCAAACUUAAGACUGUGUGUGUGUGUGUGUGUGUGUGUGUGUAUGAGAGAGAGAAAAAGAGAGAGAAGAAACAGAUGGAGAGACAGAGAGAGAACAGACAUUGGGAUUUGCAGUGUGUAGGUGAAUCCCUUUUCUUUCUGUCUCUCUUUCUCUUUCUCUCUCACUAUAUGCAACCUGUUUUAGAACAAGAGCAGUUACACACCAAUGCUCCGAAGUUCUGUGAACCUUAACAUUUCCUUUAACCACAAAAAACAAUUGCUGAAGCAAACAGGAUCUCAGAAAGGCAGUUUAAAAAAUACAUUGUGAGGAUGACUCAUUGACUCAUUUUUUUUCUUCCCAGAUCUUUAUAGUGUCCAUAUAUCUAAAUGGAUUUAUAUAUACUUUUAAGCAAAUGCACCUAAAUUCUAAAUCUGUGUAACCUCUAGGAGAAAGGGAUCUUAAAAAUGUGUCAAUUGCAAGGAAAUAUAGUUGCCCUAAUAACAAGCUUCUGGGCAUUUUCCUUUUUUUAUGUUACGGAAAACUCAUUGUGCCAAAAGCUUUCUGCUUAGGCAUGUUAAGUGAGCUGAAAGUAUGCGUGAAUCCUAGAACAAGCAUGAACUUUUACAGGUAGAUACAUCAUUUUGAAGUAAAGACUGGAGACUGGGUAGUAGAAUGCUCAGAGAAUGUGUAAUCAGUCCCCUUGUUUCAGAAGAAGAAUGAGGCUCAAAGAAGAUAAAUGACUUGCCCAAGAUCCUCCAGCUAUACCACAGCAGGGGCAAGGCUACAACUCAGACUCCUAACAACUUGUUCAGUGCUAUAUCUGCCACGUUAAACCUCUGAAAAGUUAUUUAUAAACUGAAGUUCUGUAAAUAAGUCCUAUUUUGAAUCUGAGGUUAACCAGACGUGAAAAAAUGGUCACUAUUCUAUAAACCCAUUUUUGUAAAUAGACAAUAGGGAUUCAUAUGUAUUAAGUACUGACCACUAUUCUAAAAGCUUUCCCUAUCAUAACACUUAAGCCACACACAGCCAUAUGAGGUUUGGACUCCAUUUUAUAAGUGAGUAAACUGAGGCACAGAGAGAUUAGGUAACCUGCUUAAGGUCAUAAGUGAAUUGGUUGGCAAAGCCUAGACCGUGCAAUUCCAGAGCUGAAGCUUUUGACUGUUACCCCACACAGAGCUUGCUUAAAAUGAGGCAGCAGCUGGACAUGCUUUCACAUAAAUUGCCAAACAUGAGCCACGGCUCUGAAAACUGAAUAAAAAUACACUGGAUGUUGGCCUUGCAAGGAUUUUCUCUUUAAUCUUUAGGGAUUAAGUUAAAUGAGAUAAUCAGUUUGGAAAAGAUAAAGCAUACCACAUUGAAGUGCAACGCAAACAUUAUGCAUCUACUAUGAAGAUAAUCUGUACAACCGAUAGGUAUUACUGUCCCACUUCACCAUUGAGGAGACCAAAGUUAGCUUGUAUGGGUACCACGAAGCAGAACCAGAAUCUGAGUCUGAAUCUCGUUUGACUCCCAACUUAUCAACCUGCACUACCUCCCUCACUUCCCACCUCAGAGCUAGCUGGUUACCUAGCUACCUGGAACCUGGGGACCUCAGCCAUUCCACUACAACAUGGUUAGUGAGGUUACAAUAAUCACCUUGGAAAUGAUGAAUGCUCAGGAGAGAGAACACACAGGUUCAUCCAGCCCUGCUUGGUCUUAACGCUUCCCUUCAGGAUGGGGCCACGCAUAAUCCAGAGUGCAGUGCAUCAGCCUAUAGAGGGCGCUCUUAAGUAUCAUAGCCAGAUGUGUUUGCUUAAAGAGGAAACAUCUUUAAGAAGUGAAAGCUGAAGAAUGGGGCCUAAGAUCAAACUUCAAGGUGUUGGUGGCCUAAACGCCUGCCAUCAAAGUAACACAACAGAAUGAUAACUUGGUAAACAGCAGCGAAGCUCAAUAGAUAUUCUUCAAAUUGAUUUAAGUUGUGAUAAAAACCCAACUAAUGAUUUUAAAUAUUUCUGUAGCUAGAACAACAUAGCAGAAAGACAACAUCAAAAUAUUAACCAUGAUUACAUUCUACAUGACUAGAUUACAAGGGGUUCUUUGCGACACUCUAAUUUUUCUUCAGCGAACUUGUAUUGCUUGGGUAAUUACACAUACACAAAAACCUUACUACUGUUCCUUUUAAAAAAUUACUGAAUAGAGUUUUUUAAAAAAUUGCUAGACGUAGUUUCUUGCGGAAAAUAAUCAAAUUCACGAGAUUCUUGAGUCCAAAUUUCCUUUAUUUAGGUGGCUCCAAAUUCUAAAAAAGCUUUUGCCUAUAGCCCAAUCUCAUAGGCAGCAUUUGAACAAAACAUCCAUCCAAUGACUAGAUCAUCCCUUUAAAAUCGCAACCUUUACAGUUAAAUUCCAGUGGAUAGGUCAAGUCAUGGAAAAGCUGCAAGAUGAGAACAGAAAACUGAGCAGUGCCAAUGGGGAUUGGAAGCUACCAGGGCUCCAGUAUCCCGACUUGGGAAAAAAGAAAAUUGGAAAAGGGAAUGGAGGGUUGGAGUGCCAAGUAUGUGUGAGGAAGAGUAAGAGAGAAGGACCCAGGCCGGGCAUGGUAGCUCACGCCUGUAAUCCCAGCACUUUGGGGGGCCAAGGAGGGUGGAUCACCUGAAGUCAGGAUUUCAAGACCAGCCUGGCCAACAUGGCAAAAUCCC
rnacentral:lncRNA from 1 species